CCAAGCUUACAUCGGUUCUGCCAUCUCACUUCACACUCCAUAGCGUAUCUAGAAAAACGGGCGCUCUGUUGGUGACCAUUUUGUACUUGGGAUCUCUGGGAGUAUCUGGAGACAUUUUGUUGUCACAAUUCAGGGGGAGGCAGUUGGUGCUCCUGGUACCUAGUAGGUAGAGAUAGACCAGGGAAGCUGCUAUUAAUUCUACAAUGUAUAGGAUGGCUUCCAGUGAAGUGUUAUCAUACCUAAAUGUCACUAGUGCCAAGAACUUUGGAGUUAAAGCCAAGUUAAUUAAGCACUGUCUAAAGUAUAAACUAACUGGACACAGUGAUUCACACCUGUAAAUUCCAGAUACCUGGGAAGUGGGAGAUCAAGGCCAGUCUGGGCAAAAUGUUAGUGGGAUCCCAUCUUAACCAAUAAGCCACACAGUGGUGGCUUGUGCCCCUUAUCCUAGCUAUACAGGAGGGUUUUUGUCUAGGAUGGUCCAGACAAAAAUAGGAAACCCUAUUUGAAGAAUGACGAAAGCAAAAAAUGGCAAGUGUAGAGUGCCUACCUAACAAGUACAAAGCCUUAAAUUCAAAUAUUAGUGCUACU